rnacentral:rRNA from 1 species
GGCUCAGGACAAACGCUGGCGGCGUGCCUAACACAUGCAAGUCGAACGAAGCACUGUGGAAAGAGACUCGGUCAAUGGACACUUUGACUUAGUGGCGGACGGGUGAGUAAUGCAUGAGCAAUCUGCCCUGGAGUGGGGGACAACAGUUGGAAACGACUGCUAAUACCGCAUGAAGUACCGGGAGGGCAUCCUCUUGGGACCAAAGAUUUAUCGCUCUGGGAUGAGCUCAUGUCUGAUUAGAUAGUUGGCGGGGCAACGGCCCACCAAGUCUACGAUCAGUAGCCGGACUGAGAGGUUGAACGGCCACAUUGGGACUGAGAUACGGCCCAGACUCCUACGGGAGGCAGCAGGUGGGGAAUAUUGGGCAAUGGGGCCGCAAGCCUGACCCAGCAACGCCGCGUGAAGGAAGAAGGCUUUCGGGUUGUAAACUUCUUUUACCAGGGACGAAGAAAGUGACGGUACCUGGAGAAUAAGCCACGGCUAACUACGUGCCAGCCGCCGC